rnacentral:rRNA from 1 species
ACGAACGCUGGCGGCGUGCUUAACACCUGCAAGUCGAACGGAAAGGCCCUGCUUUUGUGGGGUGCUCGAGUGGCGAACGGGUGAGUAACACGUGAGUAACCUGCCCUUGACUUUGGGAUAACUUCAGGAAACUGGGGCUAAUACCGGAUAGGAGCUCCUGCUGCAUGGUGGGGGUUGGAAAGUUUCGGCGGUUGGGGAUGGACUCGCGGCUUAUCAGCUUGUUGGUGGGGUAGUGGCUUACCAAGGCUUUGACGGGUAGCCGGCCUGAGAGGGUGACCGACCACAUUGGGACUGAGAUACGGCCCAGACUCCUACGGGAGGCAGCAGUGGGGAAUAUUGCACAAUGGGCGGAAGCCUGAUGCAGCAACGCCGCGUGCGGGAUGACGGCCUUCGGGUUGUAAACCGCUUUCGCCUGUGACGAAGCGUGAGUGACGGUAAUGGGUAAAGAAGCACCGGCUAACUACGUG